rnacentral:rRNA from 1 species
GAGGGAGAUCCCGCCGCACUGGUACCGAGACACGGACCAGACUCCUACGGGAGGCAGCAGUGAGGAAUAUUGGUCAAUGGAGGCAACUCUGAACCAGCCAUGCCGCGUGCAGGAAGACUGCCCUAUGGGUUGUAAACUGCUUUUAUACAGGAAGAAACUUAUCCACGUGUGGGUAACUGACGGUACUGUACGAGAUAAGG